GCUACUCUUUAUUGAGCACUUAUUACAUGGACCUGUAGGAACUAUUUUUUUUUAAGUGACCUAAAAUAACUCAGAUUUAUUCUUUCACAGUCCUGAAGGUCAAAAGUCCCAGUGGGUCUCACAGGCUACAAUCAAGGUGCUGGCGGGGCUGCGUUCCCUCUAGAGGCUCUAGGGCAGCAUCUGUUCCUUCUCUUUCCAGUUCUAGGGGCUGCCCACAUUCCUCCCUCACAUCCCCCUUCCAGCGAUGGCAUCACUUCGACCUCCCUUCCAUUGUCACACCUUCUCUGACUCUAACCCUUGGGUAGGCACUAUUUUAAAUGCAAUCUCUGCACCACUUAACCCUCACUGCAACCCUGAGAUAUUUACUGCCAUUUUACAAAUGAGGGAACUGAGGCACAGAGGGAUUAAGAAGCUUGCACAAAGUCACAGACCUUGAAAAGGGUAAAUCUGGGAUUUACACCUUGGCCUCUCUGUGUUUUUCUUACAACAUCAAAUAUCAAGGAAGUUUAGAGCCUGACUGCUUGGCUUCAGAGCCUGGCUCCAUGUGAUCCUGAGCAAGUUCCUCUAUCCUUCUGAGCCUCGGUUUCUUUAUCUGGAAAAUGGGCAUGAUUGUUACCUCAUGGACUUGCUGGAAGGGCUAAACGCUGCAGGUGAAAGUGCUUGAUGAGUAUCAAAUGACUGACUUCCUUCAGCCCCAGGGGUUUUGUGUUAGGAGCUUUACAUAUGGAAUGAUCACAGAAUUGACCCUCCAAACUGGGAUGCUUUUGAGAGUGAAAGGAGGUGCUAAUUGGAUGUGGUGCCAGGGCCACAAGGCAGAAACUGGGAAUGUCUUACAUCAACAGAGGUUUUGAAAAAUUCUCAGGACUUUGCUUCACGAACAGGAGAAAGAGAUGAACUCAUUUCAUGCCCUGGAAAGGCUUUCCUCACAGACAGCCAAGGAGAGUUAGAGGCACUCAUGCUUCAUUUCAGGGCCUGGGACUCCAGAGGAGGAAAGAAGGUCCUCAGCAGGCAUCUCAUGUUAGGACAGACGUUUCCCACAAGGGGGAACACACUCCCUCCGUGACAGGUCAAACCAGGUAUGGAGUUCACCUAUUUCUUGAUUGCCACCAAAAAAUAAAACAAAACCCAAUUCUAGGUUCUGGGAAAAUAGCAGUGGAUACAUCUUUUAAAAUCUCUCCAAAUUCCUACAUUCAAAAAGGACAGCUGAGGGACUGGCCCCGGGGCUGAGUGGGAUUGUUCAGCAUACUAACCAAGCCUCAGGAGAUGAACAUCUUCUGGCCAUUAAAAGCAGGUUCUACUAGUUCGGUAACAGCAGCUGAGUCACUCUCUCUGCGAUACUGGGCUUGCCAUCAUCCUUUGGAAUGCAUUGGUUCCCUUGUGCUCAGCACCUGCCAGCUCUUCAAUUCCUGUAGAGCUUCCCGUCCAAGUACAACAUCCAUGGUUUCAAUGGAGGCAGCAACCCCACCUGGCAGUGCCUCAGCUCGUAUGGAUGGGCCAGCACUGGCCAUGAGUUAUCAAGCCAGUGAGUCUGAAUCACAGGAUCACACACACGUCCUGAGGAGCGAUGCCUCUCCGCUGGAGUCAUCUUCUGCCUCAUCCAAAACACGUGGAAAAAGAAAACACGUACUCUCCGAAGACCUUCCGCUGACCCCCAACAAGAUCCAAAAUGCAGAGCCAGAAGAGAAAGGGGACUGUUGGGACACUGACAUUUGAAUGGAUUUCCCUUUGGGAGAGCUAAAUCGCUGAGGGAGACAGCAGACACAAACACACACAGACACACACAUUACCUACCAAUGACAAAAUCAGGGUCGUUGCUUGUUUCUCCUGGUAUUGUUUCUUAAGCUUUGGUCACACGUGGCUGUCUAAUGGGUCUUCCAGAUGUCUCUUUGUAUUGGGAUUCAACUAUGAUUGUUUUUCAUGUACUAUUAUUGAUCAUUUUGUUCUGGGGAGGAAUGAAUAAUGAUAGCUAUCUUUAAAAGAAAACUCCCAAAGUAGGUAUUGGUUCAUUCAUGUCUCUGCUCAAGCAGCCUCUACUUCACCUUGGAGAUUCUGGAAGGCAGGAGAGAGAGAGAGGUAUACAAAUUUUUAAAAAAUUGGAACCAGAUAAGGUGAGCCCCACACUUCUUACAUGUGGGUGAGAAGGGAGUGGUUGCUGCUUUUAAUGCUGCUAAGCGUCAGCCACUUGUUCUGCAGUGGUGAGCAAGAUGGCAGUGAUCACGGCAAUGGUGGUGGUGAAAGACGCUCAAAAUGAAGAUGAUUAACAGAGUUACUGCUGGUCUAGGAGGAAUAAAGGGGCCCUUGCAUGUCAUUCAAGAACCUUCUGAUUCCCCAAAUCUCCUUCUCUCUAGCAAGCUGGUGCUCCUAAUAUAUUGACUGUGGCAUAAUAUCUUUCAUUUUUCUACUAGAAAGAAAUAAAUAGGACAAAG
ensembl:lncRNA